GUUAUUCAAGGCUACGUCUUUUGAAGGUUAUUAUAUUGCUUAUUAAGAAUUUGUGCUCAUCCAAAGAGACUGAUAAGCGGAAGUUGCGUGUCGGGUUAGCCUUAUUAUUGAAGGUUUUGUCAUAUUUCAAACCAAACUUUGAAUAU